rnacentral:rRNA from 1 species
AGCAGCCGCGGUAAUUCCAGCUCCAAUAGCGUAUAUUAAAGUUGCUGCAGUUAAAAAGCUCGUAGUUGAAUUUCGGAACCGAUAUGUUGGUUGUGCCUCGGUACGUACUGGCAUUGUUGGUUUCUCUCUUCUGACGAACUAUGAUGUCAUUAAUUUGGUGUCAUGGGGAAUCAGGACUGUUACUUUAGAAAAAUUAGAGUGUUUAAAGCAGGCUCACGCUUGAAUACAUUAGCAUGGAAUAAUGAAAUAGGACGUUUGAUUCUAUUUUGUUGGUUUCUAGGAUUGACGUAAUGAUUAAUAGGGAUAGUUGGGGGCAUUAGUAUUCAAUUGUCAGAGGUGAAAUUCUUGGAUUUAUUGAAGACUAACUACUGCGAAAGCAUUUGCCAAGGAUGUUUUCAUUAAUCAAGAACGAAAGUUAGGGGAUCGAAGACGAUCAGAUACCGUCGUAGU